rnacentral:rRNA from 1 species
CCGGUAAACGGCGGCCGUAACUAUAACGGUCCUAAGGUAGCGAAAUUCCUUGUCGGGUAAGUUCCGACCUGCACGAAUGGCGUAAUGAUGGCCAGGCUGUCUCCACCCGAGACUCAGUGAAAUUGAACUCGCUGUGAAGAUGCAGUGUACCCGCGGCAAGACGGAAAGACCCCGUGAACCUUUACUAUAGCUUGACACUGAACAUUGAGCCUUGAUGUGUAGGAUAGGUGGGAGGCUUUGAAGUGUGGACGCCAGUCUGCAUGGAGCCGACCUUGAAAUACCACCCUUUAAUGUUUGAUGUUCUAACGUUGGCCCCUAAUCGGGGUUGCGGACAGUGUCUGGUGGGUAGUUUGACUGGGGCGGUCUCCUCCUAAAGAGUAACGGAGGAGCACGAAGGUUGGCUAAUCCUGGUCGGACAUCAGGAGGUUAGUGCAAUGGCAUAAGCCAGCUUGACUGCGAGCGUGACGGCGCGAGCAGGUGCGAAAGCAGGUCAUAGUGAUCCGGUGGUUCUGAAUGGAAGGGCCAUCGCUCAACGGAUAAAAGGUACUCCGGGGAUAACAGGCUGAUACCGCCCAAGAGUUCAUAUCGACGGCGGUGUUUGGCACCUCGAUGUCGGCUCAUCACAUCCUGGGGCUGAAGUAGGUCCCAAGGGUAUGGCUGUUCGCCAUUUAAAGUGGUACGCGAGCUGGGUUUAGAACGUCGUGAGACAGUUCGGUCCCUAUCUGCCGUGGGCGCUGGAGAACUGAGGGGGGCUGCUCCUAGUACGAGAGGACCGGAGUGGACGCAUCACUGGUGUUCGGGUUGUCAUGCCAAUGGCACUGCCCGGUAGCUAAAUGCGGAAGAGAUAAGUGCUGAAAGCAUCUAAGCACGAAACUUGCCCCGAGAUGAGUUCUCCCUGACUCCCUGAGAGUCCUGAAGGAACGUUGAAGACGACGACGUUGAUAGGCCGGGUGUGUAAGCGCAGCGAUGCGUUGAGCUAACCGGUACUAAUGAACCGUGAGGCUUAACCUU